GCAGAUAUGGCGGAAUUGGUAGACGCGCCACCUUGAGGGGGUGGUGCCUUAGGGCGUGAGAGUUCGAGUCUCUCUAUCUGCACCA
rnacentral:tRNA from 6 species